GGAAGUAGUGAAACUUUAGCUUGUUAUUUGGGCGAUUGCGACACGAAUUUCAAAAGAAUUGGUUUCGGACAUGGGUUCGACUCCCAUCGUCUCCACCA
rnacentral:tRNA from 1 species